UCAGCCUAUGAUGGUAUUAAAUAUUCUUUGAGUAUUUUAGUAUGAAAAAGCUUUUAAUCUGAGGUUU